UGCAUGUGGGAGUCAGGUGACUGGGGGAGAGGGGACGUGGCUGAGGAGAAGGACAGAGACACAUGGUCACAUGGUCGUACAACCAACAAACAUUGCAACCUUCACUGAGUAUAAAUAUCCCAGCUGACACAGACAGCCCCAGAUUCUCCUGCCGCCUCGUGUCCGGUUUGAAAGCACAGAGGAGUUAAAGCAGAUCUACGAUGAACAGCGAAGGACAAGAGCUUGCAC